rnacentral:rRNA from 1 species
GGGUGAGUAAAGUAUCGGAACGUACCAUUCAGUGGGGGAUAACGUAGCGAAAGUUACGCUAAUACCGCAUAUUCUGUGAGCAGGAAAGCAGGGGAUCGCAAGACCUUGCGCUGAUUGAGCGGCCGAUAUCAGAUUAGCUAGUUGGUGAGGUAAAAGCUCACCAAGGCGACGAUCUGUAGCGGGUCUGAGAGGAUGAUCCGCCACACUGGAACUGAGACACGGUCCAGACUCCUACGGGAGGCAGCAGUGGGGAAUUUUGGACAAUGGGGGCAACCCUGAUCCAGCCAUGCCGCGUGAGUGAAGAAGGCCUUCGGGUUGUAAAGCUCUUUCGGCCGGGAAAAAAUCGCAUGGGUUAAUACCUCGUGUGGAUGAUGGUACCGGAAUAAGAAGCACCGGCUAACUACGUGCCAGCAGCCGCGGUAAUACGUAGGGUGCGAGCGUUAAUCGGAAUUACUGGGCGUAAAGCGUGCGCAGGCGGUUUGAUAAGACAGGCGUGAAAUCCCCGGGCUCAACCUGGGAACUGCGUUUGUGACUGUCUCACUAGAGUACGGCAGAGGGGGGGGUGGAAUUCCACGUGUAGCAGUGAAAUGCGUAGAGAUGUGGAGGAACACCAAUGGCGAAGGCAGCCCCCCUGGGUCGAUACUGACGCUCAUGCACGAAAGCGUGGGUAGCAAACAGGACUAGAUACCCUGGUAGUCCACGCCCUAAACGAUGUCAACUAGGUGUUGGGUGGGUAAAACCAUUUAGUACCGUAGCUAACGCGAGAAGUUGACCGCCUGGGGAGUACGGCCGCAAGGUUAAAACUCAAAGGAAUUGACGGGGACCCGCACAAGCGGUGGAUGAUGUGGAUUAAUUCGAUGCAACGCGAAAAACCUUACCUACCCUUGACAUGUUCAGAAGGCCGAAGAGAUUUGGCUGUACUCGAAAGAGAACUGAAACACAGGUGCUGCAUGGCUGUCGUCAGCUCGUGUCGUGAGAUGUUGGGUUAAGUCCCGCAACGAGCGCAACCCUUGUCGUUAAUUGCCAUCAUUCAGUUGGGCACUUUAACGAAACUGCCGGUGACAAACCGGAGGAAGGUGGGGAUGACGUCAAGUCCUCAUGGCCCUUAUGGGUAGGGCUUCACACGUCAUACAAUGGUCGGUACAAAGGGUUGCCAACCCGCGAGGGGGAGCUAAUCCCAGAAAGCCGAUCGUAGUCCGGAUCGCAGGCUGCAACUCGCCUGCGUGAAGUCGGAAUCGCUAGUAAUCGUGGAUCAGCAUGUCACGGUGAAU